rnacentral:lncRNA from 1 species
UUAACGAGUGGUAAAUAUAGUGCAACUACAAAUAAAUGAUAAUUUUGUAAACAUGUAACAAAAUUUGUACCACAACAUAAACUUUGUACCAUAAUUUAGUGGAGAUACUAAAUACCUUCACUAAUGUGUUAGCCAUAAAUUCCUUGGUACUGAACUUUUCACUGUCACCAGUUUUACCAACACUUAAAUACAUACAGCAAAUUGUUCAUUUUAAUACUGUAAUAGGUAAAAAUAAGACCAAAAAUUAUAUCACAAAUAGG